rnacentral:rRNA from 1 species
UGGUUCUCCCCGAAAGCUAUUUAGGUAGCGCCUCGUGAAUUCAUCUCCGGGGGUAGAGCACUGUUUCGGCUAGGGGGCCAUCCCGGCUUACCAACCCGAUGCAAACUGCGAAUACCGGAGAAUGUUAUCACGGGAGACACACGGCGGGUGCUAACGUCCGUCGUGAAGAGGGAAACAACCCAGACCGCCAGCUAAGGUCCCAAAGUCAUGGUUAAGUGGGAAACGAUGUGGGAAGGCCCAGACAGCCAGGAUGUUGGCUUAGAAGCAGCCAUCAUUUAAAGAAAGCGUAAUAGCUCACUGGUCGAGUCGGCCUGCGCGGAAGAUGUAACGGGGCUAAACCAUGCACCGAAGCUGCGGCAGCGAACGUAUCACCCAAGACAACUUUACGGAGUUGACGAUUGACGGAGCGAAGCGACGUCAAAGCGUUCAUUAAAGUCGAGUUGGCUUAGGGAUACGUUCGUUGGGUAGGGGAGCGUUCUGUAAGCCUGUGAAGGUGUGUCGUGAGGCAUGCUGGAGGUAUCAGAAGUGCGAAUGCUGACAUAAGUAACGAUAAAGCGGGUGAAAAGCCCGCUCGCCGGAAGACCAAGGGUUCCUGUCCAACGUUAAUCGGGGCAGGGUGAGUCGACCCCUAAGGCGAGGCCGAAAGGCGUAGUCGAUGGGAAACGGGUUAAUAUUCCCGUACUUGGUGUUACUGCGAAGGGGGGACGGAGAAGGCUAUGUUGGCCGGGCGACGGUUGUCCCGGUUUAAGCGUGUAGGUGUGUGUUCCAGGUAAAUCCGGUUCACUUUAACACUGAGGCGUGACGACGAGGCACUACGGUGCUGAAGCAACAAAUGCCCUGCUUCCAGGAAAAGCCUCUAAGCAUCAGGUAACACGAAAUCGUACCCCAAACCGACACAGGUGGUCAGGUAGAGAAUACCAAGGCGCUUGAGAGAACUCGGGUGAAGGAACUAGGCAAAAUGGUGCCGUAACUUCGGGAGAAGGCACGCUGACACGUAGGUGAAGUGAUUUACUCAUGGAGCUGAAGUCAGUCGAAGAUACCAGCUGGCUGCAACUGUUUAUUAAAAACACAGCACUGUGCAAACACGAAAGUGGACGUAUACGGUGUGACGCCUGCCCGGUGCCGGAAGGUUAAUUGAUGGGGUCAGCGUAAGCGAAGCUCCUGAUCGAAGCCCCGGUAAACGGCGGCCGUAACUAUAACGGUCCUAAGGUAGCGAAAUUCCUUGUCGGGUAAGUUCCGACCUGCACGAAUGGCGUAAUGAUGGCCAGGCUGUCUCCACCCGAGACUCAGUGAAAUUGAACUCGCUGUGAAGAUGCAGUGUACCCGCGGCAAGACGGAAAGACCCCGUGAACCUUUACUAUAGCUUGACACUGAACAUUGAGCCUUGAUGUGUAGGAUAGG